rnacentral:rRNA from 1 species
GACGAACGCUGGCGGCGUGCCUAAUACAUGCCAGUAGAACGCUGAAGGAGGAGCUUGCUUCUCUGGAUGAGUUGCGAACGGGUGAGUAACGCGUAGGUAACCUGCCUGGUAGCGGGGGAUAACUAUUGGAAACGAUAGCUAAUACCGCAUAAUAGUAGCUGUUGCAUGACAUUUGCUUAAAAGGUGCAAUUGCAUCACUACCAGAUGGACCUGCGGUGUAUUAGCGAGGUGGUGGGGUAACGGCUCACCAAGGCGACGAUACAUAGCCGACCUGAGAGGGUGAUCGGCCGCACUGGGACUGAGACACGGCCCAGACUCCUACGGGAGGCAGCAGUAGGGAAUCGUCGGCAAUGGGCGGAAGUCUGACCGAGCAACGCCGCGUGAGUGAAGAAGGUUUUCGGAUCGUAAAGCUCUGUUGUAAGAGAAGAACGAGUGUGAGAGUGGAAAGUUCACACUGUGACGGUAUCUUACCAGAAAGGGACGGCUAACUACGUG